UGUGAAGAGCACAAUAUACCACUAUGCACCAGAAUCUUUCCUGAACUUGGAAGCUAACCAGGGUCACCCUUGGUUAAUACUUGGAUGGGAGACUGCUGCUGAAUAAUAGGCCCUGGUUAUAC
rnacentral:rRNA from 11 species